rnacentral:rRNA from 1 species
CACGCAGGCGGUCUUGCCAGUCAGGGGUGAGAGCCCGAGGCUCAACCUCGGAACUGCCUCUGAUACUGCAGGACUUGAGACUAGGAGAGGGUGGUGGAAUUCCCAGUGUAGAGGUGAAAUUCGUAGAUAUUGGGAGGAACACCAGAGGCGAAGGCGGCCACCUGGACUAGAUCUGACGCUCAGGUGCGAAAGCGUGGGGAGCAAACA